ACGACCCCCGAGCCCGUGAGAGAAACAUCGCUCAGCCCCCUUUCCCCAACGAGCUCUGGCGAUUUUGUAGGGUUCGUCCAGUGCGCCGCCACCCAGCAGCUGGCCACCGGCGCGCUCCCACGUCGCCACCGGUGGGCUUCCGCAACAUCGUCGCCGGCCGCGUCCAUCCCCUCAUCCAUCUCCAUAGCCCCGCCUCCCUCCCCUUCACUCCCCGACCACACCCAUCUCUGUUCGCCGCCGGCCGUCGCAGGAGCUCGACCACGAGGACGGGCCGCCACAGGAACUCAACCACGGCGGCGGGCCGCCACAGGAGCUCUACCCCAACACCACCUCCCGUGGUGCCGCUGCUAAUCAGCGGCAGGGAACACCAGUUAGCCACCACCGCCGGCCAGCCUCUCACCCGAGCUGCAGCACCACCGCCGGCCUUCCUAUCACCCAAUCUGCAGCACCAGCGUCGGCCUUACUCAAGAUGGAAAAGGAAAAGGCAAAUUGGGAUGCACAUCACAUAACCGUGUUUUGUGAGUUAUGCAAAGAUGAGGUGGAUAAAGGUAAUAGGCCAAAGCGUUGUUUGAACCGUAGAGGGUACAAACAUCUUGAAGAGAAGUUCUUUGAUAAGACUGGAAAAAGAUGUUCGCAGAAUCAGUUUACAAAUAAAUGGGACAUGCUGAAGAGACAAUAUGUACAAUUCAUGUUGUUGAAACAUGCGGCGACUGGGCUAGGUUGGGAUGAUGUGAAGAAAACUAUUGUAGCCGAUGAUGACUGGUGGAAAGUUCAUCUUAAGAAAAACCCGAAGCAUGCAAAGUAUAAGAAAAAGGGCUUGUCUAACUUGGAAGAAAUGCAAAGGAGGGCAAGGUCUCACCUAAGGAUGGCAAGUCUGCAAAGGAGGGCAAGGUUUCAAAAAAUGUGAAGCGCAAGGCCAAGUUUAUUGACGAGUCAGCUAAGGAGGACAAGAACCCCUUUCUACGUGAGUAUAAGGCCACACUAGGGAAUAUAAACUUAGAGAUAGCAGCUACUCAUGCUCCAACAAGUGUUGUUCCUACCAUGAAGGAAGUUCUAACUUCGAUGAAGGAGUGUGGCGCGGAAGAGGGAACUCCUUUGUAUUUCACAGCAACCGACCUUGUCCUCCAAUCGAACUAUAGAGAGUUGUUCAUGCUCAUCGAGACAAAAGAGGGGAGGCUUGAUUGGCUGAAAAGGAAACAUGAUCAAAUGAACAAAUAGUACCACACGACCUUGUCCUCCAACCGAUCUUCGUGAUAUGAAUGGAGUGGACCAGGAUACCGAUGAUGAGCCUAACAAAAGGAGGAGAAAGCUCACGCGGUUGGCAACUUUGGCAUGUCAAGUUGGAUGCAUGGGCCACAUAGGUAAUCACUAUACCAAGACCUAUCUACAAAAAGAACCAUAUAGGAUUCCAGAACAAACUGGUCAUGAAUGGGUUAUGGAGACUCUUGGUCGGAAAAGGAGUUGUUAUAGGAUGUUUAGGAUGAAUCCAAGAGUAUUUCAGUCAUUACAUAAUGUUCUAGUGUCUCAUUAUGGAUUGAAGUCAAGUAGAGAAGUAACAUCACAAGAGUCUUUAGCUAUGUUCUUGUGGAUAGUUGGUGGACCUCAAUCAUUCUCUCAAGUUGAAAAUCGUUUUUCAAGAUCAAAGGAAACAGUUCAUUGAAAGUUCAAAGAAGUAUUGAAUUGCUUGUGCAAGUUAGCAGGACAUAACAUAACACCUCGUGAUGAUUCUUUCACAACCAUGCAUGAAAGAAUUCAAGAUGAGAGGUUUUGGCCUCAUUUCAAAGGUGCCAUUGGCGCAAUAGAUGGCUGCCACAUUCCAGUUACAGUACCAGUGGAUGAGGUUGAGGUCGACAUGGAUUUCCAUCACAAAAUGUUAUGGCGGUUUGUGAUUUCGACAUGAGGUUUACUUUUGUUGUGGCUGGUUGGCCCGGUUCAGAACAUGACACAAGGAUCUUAAAUGAUAGCUUGGUCAAGUACGCAGAUAAGUUCCCUACACCUCCAGCAGGAACAUAUUACCUCGUCGACUCGGAAUAUCCAAACCGUGAAGGAUAUCUUGCUCCUUACAAAGGUCAAAUAUACCAUAUACCGGAAUUUCGUAAUGGGCAAAAACCGGUGGGAAAAUUCGAGGUGUAUAAUCAUGCUCACUCUUCACUUCGAAACGUCAUUGAACGAACAUUUGGAGUGCUCAAAGCUAAAUGGCGCAUCUUGAAGGGUAUGCCUAGUUUCAGCCCUCGUAGACAAAAAAAGAUUAUUAUUGCCUGUAUGUCAUUGCACAACUACAUUCGUGAGACCAAGUUGCCUGAUGAGGAGUUUGACAAAUGUGAUGAAGAUGAAGAUUAUGUUCCCGAUGAGGACUUGCGAGUACGGUCACUCCAAGGAGAUAGUGUUCCUGCGAGACUUGACAUCGUCGACAUGAACAAAGUUCGUGACAGGAUUGCUAACUCCUUGAUGAGCUCGAGUGGAUAGAGUUGUUGGGAUGUAGAAGUGUAUAUAAUAUUUUGCACCGCUCCUAGUAAUCUAGUUGUUGGGCUGUCGUUUCUUAAAAAUGCAAGGGUUGUAAUGUACUGAUGUAUUGAUCAAUGAUGAAAUAUUUGGGUUCAAUUGCUAGUUCA